UACGUAGGGUGCGAGCGUUAAUCGGAAUUACUGGGCGUAAAGCGUGCGCAGGCGGUUGGGCAAGUCUGAUGUGAAAGCCCCGGGCUUAACCUGGGAACUGCGUUUGAAACUGGAAGGCUAGAGUGUGGCAGAGGGGGGUGGAAUUCCACGUGUAGCAGUGAAAUGCGUAGAUAUGUGGAGGAACACCGAUGGCGAAGGCAGCCCCCUGGGCUAACACUGACGCUCAUGCACGAAAGCGUGGGGAGCAAACAGG
rnacentral:rRNA from 1 species